CAAUAGCGUAUAUUAAAGUUGUUGCGGUUAAAAAGCUCGUAGUUGGAUUUCUGCUGAGAACGACCGGUCCGCCCUUUGGGUGUGUAUCUGGCUCUUUCUUGGCAUCUUCUUGGUGAACGUUGCUGCACUUGACUGUGUGGAGCGCUACCCAGGACUUUUACUUUGAGGAAAUUAGAGUGUUUCAAGCAGGCAUACGCCUUGAAUACAUUAGCAUGGAAUAAUAAGAUAGGACCUCGGUUCUAUUUUGUUGGUUUCUAGAGCUGAGGUAAUGAUUAAUAGGGAUAGUUGGGGGCAUUCGUAUUUAACUGUCAGAGGUGAAAUUCUUGGAUUUGUUUAAGACGGACUACUGCGAAAGCAUUUGCCAAGGAUGUUUUCAUUGA
rnacentral:rRNA from 1 species